UACGUAGGGGGCAAGCGUUGUCCGGAAUUACUGGGCGUAAAGAGCUCGUAGGUGGUUUGUCGCGUUGUUCGUGAAAACUCACAGCUUAACUGUGGGCGUGCGGGCGAUACGGGCAGACUGGAGUACUGCAGGGGAGACUGGAAUUCCUGGUGUAGCGGUGGAAUGCGCAGAUAUCAGGAGGAACACCGGUGGCGAAGGCGGGUCUCUGGGCCGAUACUGACGCUGAGGAGCGAAAGCGUGGGGAGCAAACAGG
rnacentral:rRNA from 1 species